AUUUCACCUAUUUUUUAAAAUAACUUACGAUAUAAUUCAGACAGUACAAUCCCCCACUGAACGUGUACCAAUCAAUGGUUUUCAGUAUUCUUAGAGUUGUUCAACCAUAUCCACCAUCACUUUUAGAACUUUUUCCUCAACCCCCACAGAGAAACUCCAUACCCACCAGCAGUCCCUCCCUCUCCCCCUCCAGCUCCCCAGCCCUAGGCAAUCACUGUCUCUAACUUUGCCAGUUCUGGACAUUUCAUAUAAGUGAAAUAAUACAAUCCGUGGUCUUCGGCAAUGGCUUCUUUCACAAAGCAUCCUAUUUUCAAGAUUCGUCCAGGCUGUAGCGUGUCUCAGGACUUUAUUUCUGCUUAUUGCAAGAUAUCAUUCUGCUCUAUGGCUAUGCCACAUUCGAUUGGUUCAUUCAUUGGUUGAGGGACAUUUGGGUGGUGUCCACUUUUUGGCUCUUACGAACAUUCGAGUCCAUGUUUUAUGUGGACAUGUGUUGCCAUUUCUCUUGGGUGGGACUGCUGGAUGGUACAGUAGCUCUGUGUUUGGAGGAAAUGCUAGACUAGUUGCUAAAGCAACUAAACCAUUUUACAUUCCCACCACCCAUGUAGGAGGAUUCAGCUUCUCUUACCCCCUCACCAACAUACACGAUUAUCUGUCUGUUUUAUGAUAGCCCCCUACCCAUUUUUAAAUAGUUCCAGGAGAUGGGAUUUCUGUUGAAAGUGGCUUUGAUCAAUUAUCUGGGUUCCUCUGAGGUGACCACAUGUCUAGGGGGUUAUUCUAAAACUGAUUCCCCAGCACCUCACCAUUCUGGGGUUUAAAUUCCAAGGGUGCUGAGUAGAUGUGGCCCCAAGCAGCAAACCAAGAGUCCAGAUAAAUUCCACGAUGGCAUGAGUUCUAUACACACUAUAGCUUAGAGCCAUCCUGUCCCAUACGGUAACCACUAACCUUCUGUGGUUACACUUUUAAAUUAAUUAAAGUGAAGUGAAAUCAGUCACACUGGCCCCAUUUUAGGUGUUCCGGACCCGCCUGUGGCUAGUGGUAACCGCGCUGGACCUCCUGGCAGAUCUGGUGCCUUUCUGUCAUUGUAGAAAGUUCUAAUGGAUAACAUGGAAGAGGAAAGACACCACAUCACCACUGGGAGAAAUGUUAAGCAGAGAGGCUUUGUUUCCAGAUACCUCCCUCACUUAAGAACCCCCCUGUAGCUGGUUUUACCAGCCCACAAACUCAGAAUUCUUGGGGAUGCCAGAGAAAAGCUGGAUCGGUGUGUAUGUUGAUGUAGAAAUGCCAAAAGUUAAGACCUCAGGACCUCACAGCUGUUCAUGUUUUCCAAUCCAUUCUUAGACAUUUAAGCCAUUCCUUUCACUCUUCAGGGUCCAACCACCCCAACUGCGAUGUCUGGGAUGAGACACACUUUAAUAUCAAAUGCUCUCUUUUGAAGAACUCCUCUAUGAAGGAUUGCCAACAUUUAAGCAUGUCCGAAAAUAAGAAUUUGCUCUCUGUGUGCUAUUAAUAAUUAGCAGUCAAUUAAUAAUUUCAGCUCUCAGCGUGUUAGAAAAGGCAACCCACAUUUUUUUUUAGGAGAAAAAAAGAAAAAGUCACCCUUGAAGCAGCCAUGGCAUUUCACAUGCGAAAGCAGAGUCGGCCUUGAAUUCUGGGGCUGGGAUCUGCUGAGGCACAUCAACUAUUGGGUUUCACAUAUCUUUACUGUUAUCACUACUCAAAGAGCAUAUGCUUUAUACCUUGAAAUGGAGGCAAACACUCCUUAUUGUUUGUAGAGAAGAUAGGUGUGGGCCCCAGCCUCAUCUGUACCUCGCCACAGGUUCUGUGAUGUCCAAAGACCAAAGCUACGGAUGAACAUUUCAAUCCACUUACACAAAAGUUUGCAACGACUAAUUCAAGUCUGAAACACUUGCUAAAGCAACUUACAAGUCAGGUUCUCCGGAGAGUUUUCCCCCUGCUUUAAAUCACUGGAGACAAACUACCUCUUGCCAGGUCUUGUUUGUAAGAGGACAGCAGUACCUCCUCUAUCAGAACAAAUCAAAUUCCCUCGUAUGUGACCUUCAAGUAAAGACUGGAGAGCAGCCAGAGAACCUGCAAACGUCUUACAUCUGAACAGAACAUGGAGACGCCAGGAGAAGCUGCUGAUUGUGAUGGCCCCUUGUGCAGUGAGUGUGCAGGGAGGCUUGCCCUGUGCUCCUGGGAGACUGCACACCCCACUGACGUGGGUACCAUUCUUCCUUAAAGGCCUGUGUGUAUGUAAAACUCGAUGGCUUUGCUGUAGUCUUGAAACGAAUACAGCAUUGUAAGUCCAAUAUACGCCAAUAAUUUUUUUUAUUUGAAAAUAAAGAAAUUAGGAGUUCCCGUCAUGGCGCAGCAGAAAUGAAUCUGACUAGGAACCAUGAGGUUGUGGGUUCAAUCCCUGGCCUCGCUCAGUGGGUUAAGGAUCCGGUGUUGUCAUGAGCUGUGGUGUUGGUCACAGGCAUGGCUCGGAUCUUGCAUGGCUGUGGCUGUGGCUGUGGUGUAGGCCGACGGCUACAGCUCCCAUUAGAUCCCUGACCUGGGAACCUCCAUACGCCACAGGUACAGCCCUAAAAAGAAAAAAAAAAGAAGAAGUAUCAAAGAUCACCUACAAAAUAUCGCAGCAGAAAUACUUUUCUAAACCAACUUCUGGGCUCUGUUGAGUAUCAGUUGGCAUUUCCAACAUAACAAAGUCCUGAAACAAUAUGUAUUUAUUAUUUCUCAUGAUUUUGUGCACUGCCUGCACACUGCUUCUGUCCUGGUCCAGUUAGGUGAGGUGAGAUGGCCUAAAACGGCCUCACCGACAUAUCCGGGUUCUCAGCUGGGACCCUGGGGCUCCCUCCAUGUGCUGGCAU
ensembl:lncRNA